GACGUAGGGGGCGAGCGUUGUCCGGAUUUAUUGGGCGUAAAGCGUGCGUAGGCGGCUGCGCAAGUCGGUUGUGAAACCCCGGGGCUCAACCCCGGAACUGCAUCCGAUACUGCGUGGCUAGAGGUAGGUAGGGGAGAUCGGAAUUCCUGGUGUAGCGGUGAAAUGCGCAGAUAUCAGGAGGAACACCGGUGGCGAAGGCGGAUCUCUGGGCCUUACCUGACGCUGAGGCGCGAAAGCUAGGGGAGCAAACAGG
rnacentral:rRNA from 1 species